CCUACGGGUGGCAGCAGUGAGGAAUAUUGGUCAAUGGCCGGAAGGCUGAACCAGCCAAGUAGCGUGAGGGAGGACUGCGCAACGGGUUGUAGACUUCUUUUGUAGGGGAAUAAAGUGCGGCACGCGUGCCGUUUUGUGGGUACUUUAUGAAUAAGCAUCGGCUAACUCCGUGCCAGCAGCCGCGGUAAUACGGAGGAUCCGAGCGUUAUCCGGAUUUAUUGGGUUUAAAGGGAGCGUAGGUGGGUUCUUAAGUCGGUUGUGAAAGUUUGGGGCUCAACCGUCACCUUGCAAUUGAUACUGGCAGUCUUGAGUACAGCUGAGGCAUGCGGAAUGCGCGGUGUAGCGGUGAAAUGCUUAGAUAUCACGCAGAACCCCGAUUGCGAAGGCAGCUUACCAUGCCGCCACUGACACUGAUGCUCGAAAGUGUGGGUAUCAAACAGGAUUAGAUACCCGUGUAGUC
rnacentral:rRNA from 1 species